UAAGCUCCGAUUCCAGAACCAAUGCUUACAGAUAGGUCCUCUUCGGGAAUUUCUUAACCUCUCAGUAUUUUUUAGUUUUUCCACCUAUAAAAUAGGGAGAAUAACCAGUACCUACCUCAAUUGAGCCAAUGUGAGGAUGUAGAGUGGAUAGAUAGAAAGUAACAAGCUAUUGCUAAAUUUGUAUGGAAAAGCAAAAUUUUUGUUUGCAGAAAAAAUAAUGAAGUUGGAGUCCUGGUAGAAGAAGGCAUGAAUGAAUGAUGCAGCCACAAAUGUCACUGCUAGAGCUUGACUCAUUUGCUCUCAACCCUGAGGAUGUCAAAGCCCUGGGGAGGCGGAGCUUGAGCUGGUGCUUCGUAUGGAGCCUGGAGGCUGAGAGGGACUCCUGCUAGGGGUGAGUGAGAGAGCCAGCCGGGGGCGGCGCUGUAAAACUCAGCCUUUGAUGCUACAGUCUGGAUGCUUCAGUCUCUA